GGAAAGGGACCAGGCCUUUCAACAGCUUCCUAUCAUCUUCUUUCCAAGAUGCAUCCGAAAUUGAGAAGCUGAAGGACAUAUUUGGCAGAAUGAUCUUUUCCCUGGAGGAGAAAAGCAUGGCAAAGGUGCCUUAUCCCCUGGCAGUUAAAGAAGCUGAGAAGCAGGUUGAAAAAGAAAUAGCACAGCUCAAAGCAGCUCCAGCCUGCAUCCCACCGUGUGGGUUCCAGAAAGAGGCUCGCCAAUACCGAUGCUCGUCUUGCACCAUGGUGGACUGCUCGCUGCCCAUUGAUUGCCCAAUUCAGGAUGUGCAUAAAUCUGAAGGGGACGUGACACUUCUCAGCUGCAGAGUUCAGUUUGAGAUUCCUCAGGACGCAACCUACCGAUGGAAAUUUGCCAAGGAAAUCAGAACCAACAAAAUUUUCCUCUUCCAAGACCUGAACUUUGGGUUCAAUCCUUCUCUCCUUAUCCGCCCCACCCUGGGAUCCCACCAUGGCACUUUCGCCUGCCAGAUCACUGAGGAGGACGGGGUGCUGGUCAGAAAGUUCUUCUACCUCAAUGUGACAGAGAAGAGACUUCAUCAAGAGAAAGAGUUGCAGGAGAUGUUCAAAGCCAUCUUGAACCCCCCACCAAUGGUAGAGGUUGCAGGUGAAACAUGGGGAGAGGAAGUGGAGACCAACCUAACCGACUCAGAGAUGCCUUCCUUGGAAGAGAUUCUCUCUGGGCCAGACUUCCUCCACAAGAAGGUUGUUUUCUUCCUCAUCGUGGGGAUAGCCAUGAUCUCAGCACUGGCCACUAUGAUAGCAAUGACAAUUUAUCGCUGGGCUACAGACAUCAAACUGUGAAUUGGGAGGAAAUUCACAGAACAUUCCUCCCUUCCCCUCUACCCACCCCUUCUUUUUGCUGUGCCUUGCUGUAUUAUUUUAUCGCGGAUAUGUUUGCGGCCCUGGGAUCCUCUGGGAGAGAAGAGCAACAUGUAAAUAAAUGUAAUAAAUGAAACAAGGUAACUAAACAAAAUGUACCUUUUCCUACUAAAGCUAAUUUCCAAGUACAGCAAUGUUUGUUCCAGGAGCCUGAAGCCUUGACAUUCACACCUCGAUCCUUAUCUAUAAUACAGUCGUAACUCAGUUUAAGAACAGUCUGGUUUAAGAAC